CGUCCUUAUGAAGUUGAUGAUAUUUUUGCAUUUAUUAAAAAAAAGGCGAGUUAAAUCUGCCAGAAGGAACGUUUGCUGUCCAAGAGGCUGAAACGAGCUAUUUUUGGAUGAUAAAAUGAUAAAUAAUAAAUAAGAAAGGAUAAGCAUAAGAAAAAAUGCAUUGUUUUUUGCAAUUUCCCUCCAUUCAUUUCAGGAGGGUGAGCAAUGCCUUAGCGCAAAAUGCAGUGCUUUUAAUUCCAAAGCAUAUUCACCAUGGAAGAGCCAACCUAAGGCUCAUUUUGCAUUACAGUGCAGUACAAGCCUCCAGGACCGUUUCAGUCCUGGGUGGGCAUAUCAGGAGGACAAGAGGGCUGAACUGGGUUGAACAAUGUGACUCCACAGUGGAAUAACAUCCUGUGUCCAGGUUGUGAGAGUGGCCCCAAUCUCUGGCUGUCUCUCUGUCUUCAGACUCGGGAUCCUCCCGCUCCCUUUCCAGCUGGAAAAACAAACACCGUCUGUGGGAGUGAAGGGACCCAGCGCUGUAAAAAAAAAAAACUGCAGCGCCACUUUCGCCGGCUUUCAAAGCGAAUAAAAAAAGGAAAAGGGCCUGUGUAAAUGUCAUUAGUUAUCUUUAUCACCAAAUGUGUUUGGCGACUUGAAAGCAUCGUCAGAGGAUUGGCACAGGCAGCUUCUCCACAGCUAAACUGGAUAACGACACUGUGAGUGAAUAAAAGAAAUAAGCAGGCAGUAA